UACGUAGGGGCCAAGCGUUGUUCGGAUUUACUGGGCGUGAAGGGCGCGUAGGCGGCUUGACAAGUCACUUGUGAAAUCUCCGGGCUUAACUCGGAACGGCCAAGUGAAACUGUCAUGCUAGAGUGCAGAAGGGGCAAUCGGAAUUCUUGGUGUAGCGGUGAAAUGCGUAGAUAUCAAGAGGAACACCUGAGGUGAAGACGGGUUGCUGGGCUGACACUGACGCUGAGGCGCGAAAGCCAGGGGAGCAAACGGG
rnacentral:rRNA from 1 species